AGAAAAGGGAAAGAAAUUAGAGAUGGAAAAUGGGAAAAUUUUCCUCCAUUCUAGAACUUACGGGAGUUAUCUCUCCCUCAAUUUUUCAUCCACAGUCAGAAAGAGGGUACCGACUCCAUCGUCCCUUUCCCUUAUUCUUCUCAAAAACAAAAAUUCCUAAAGGAGGAACCUUAAUUCCUUUCUCACUCUCGUCGCCUCCUUUUCUCUGGUGAAAUCGCCGUCCUGUCGGAGCCCGCCGGCGACUCGUAUCAUCGGAGGCUUCGCCGUGCCGUCUGCUGCAGUCCCUCACUCCGUCGCUCUGUCGCUCGUCUCUUCGCGGCGAUUCAGCCCAUCGCGGCUUCUCUGGUUGAGGCAGAUGCCGUUAGGACCGUUUCACAGACCAGUGCCGCCGCUGCCCUUCGGUGUCGCCGCUGCACCAGAGAGUUUCCGCGGCUGCCUUCGCGGCUUCGCCGUCUCCGGUGGCCUCCGAGGCAGGUCCUCGGCCCUAAAGCAAAGUUUUCCUCCUAUUACUUAGCUCACUUUAUGGUUUUCAUGAUCGCAGUAGCUAUGUGAUAAUGGGGCUUUGGUGUUUGAAUUCUAAUGUGAGAGUUACUGCAGUUAUUUGCAUAUCUUUCUGGUUGUUCAAGUUCCUUUUGUUCUCGGUUCAGGCAAUCUUGAUUUCUAUGUGCAACCUGAUAGUUGAACAAUUGUUUUGUUGUUCUAAGUUUUUUUUUUUUUUUUAAAAUUAACUUCAUAUAUUUAUAUCAUAUAUAUGAAGGAGGAAAUUACAAAUCAACUCCUAUAACAAGGAGGAAAGAUAAAUUACGCCACCCAGGGUUCGAACUCGAGACCUCCAGGAUGGACGCGGUAUCCAGCACCCUUUACCGCUAGGCCAAGGGGCUUGGAUGUUUUGUUGUUCUAAGUUCUUGAUCCUAAGUUUCACUCCUUUAUCUGUUAUGAUGUGGGGUUCUAAAGCAUGCUCCUAUGUUCUUGAGCGAUACAUGUGAUGCAAAAGGGUGUUUCUGGGAUUACAUUUUUGUAGCAAUAUAGUUCUUAUGAUAUAUGUUGUGAGCUACUGUGGUGAAAGAAACAGAGGAUACAACUUUUGUGACAUGUUCUGGCAGAAUUUAUUCGACUGCAGUUAACCAAGUAAACGACCUCUUUUUCUUACCAAAUUUUAACUGAACCUACUUUUAUGUGUCUUCUGCAAUGUGACCAAAAUUUAGCUUAAUCCGAGUUCAAAUGAAUUUAUAGUGAUUUUUGUAAUGAGAUUGCCCCUGUUCUGCCAGGUUAGAAUAAAACAGACAUAAACCCUAAACAAAUUAGAAUUUGAAGUCCAAAGUUAAUACCCGUAAAAUAGACAGUCAUGGCUUUUAUUUUCAUCUGGUUACGUUGAUUUUCGACUUCGUUGUUGACCAGAAUGAUUUUUCAAAGUCGGUGCAUUUUCUGUAAAAUCUUGGGACAUGAUAAAACUUGAAAUGUUUAUUGUUUAAACUUAUUUUUGGACAAGUGUACGAAGAUAUGAUUCCUAAUGUGAAAUCUUGAAGGAGAAAUAGUUGUUUUUGACUAAUCUAAUGUCUUGUAGGAUAUAUGCAUAAAUAGUAGACAAGAAUUAUGAAAUUAAGUUAGAAAAUAAUGGUUAACAGUAUGAAUUUGAUACUUUAUAUGCGAAAGUGAAAUAUAUAUUGAAGGGUAAUUCUACCCCAGGAAAUAACAAGGACAAGGACAAGGAGCAGGAAUAAAGGGAUUCGUGUGUCAAGGGCGUUUUGGAUUUCGAGAUUAGAGGAUCAGACCUAGCUCUUUUAUUGUUCAGCUGCAGCCAGGUCACUAGCCAGUCUUUUGAGUUCGAGUAAUUAUUGGAUAUGUUAGUUGUGGCAUGUUUAGAAAGUGUAAUGUUGUUUGGACGUUCAUUUACUUCGUUAUCCAGGUUGUAUAAAUAUAUAUAGACUUUUGUGAAA